AUGUAGUAGUUCAGUGGAUAGAAUGCUUGCCUAACAUACAGAAGGCUCUGGGUUCAAUUCCUAGCACUACAUA
rnacentral:tRNA from 1 species